UGUAACCAUUUUGCCUUUUGGUGUGAUUCCCUUCACGUCUUACAAAUUAAGGAAGUUUGGUCUGGUGUUAGUAUUUGGAUGGGAGACCUCCAAAGAACAGGAGGUAGUGGUGAUUC
rnacentral:rRNA from 1 species